rnacentral:lncRNA from 1 species
UUUCUGCACUUUCCUCCUCCCAAAUAACUGCCUUAAUGUCUUCAACAUUCCUUGCUUUCUUGAAUUUUGCACAAAGAUCAAGUUCACAAUUAGUAGCAUCUGUCAAGACUUUGGAAUUUGAUUGUAUCACAAAAUUUAUUUCAGUGCAAAUGGAGCAAGAACUAGAUUCACAAUCACAUUUGAAAUUCUCAGAAAACUG